UUAUUCGUGACCUCGUUUCAUACGGACCAGACAUUUUCUACACGUGCAGGGGACUCUCAACUUUCGUGGCUUACCAAGUCCAGGGACCACAGCUCGACCUGGGGUCGUGCAUCAAACUCGAUGUCCUUCAGUACCUGGCCCUCACGUACUGCCACAAUGACAACUUUGUGUAAAUCAUACCUCUCCUCAUCCCAGCUGCAGCUGCUGUCCAAAACCAAUCCUGAGUUAUUCCCUGGCAUCUCCUCUUCCAUCACCUUCCUUCCUGAGGGUUUAGUGAAACAGAUCAAUUGGUGAGCAGAGCUAUCAAUUAAAUUCCUUAAUCACGGAUUAA